rnacentral:lncRNA from 1 species
AUGUGGGGAGCAUCAAUCCAACAGGAAUGCGGGACUACCAGGAAACUCCAGAACCUCGCAGAGAUUUCGCCUCGGUUUUCAAAGCUGUACCCACGCCACGUUCCAAAACAGCUUCUCUCCGAGGUGACACGCGGAUGUAGCAAAUGGAGAAGAUCAAGGUCAAGAACUUCAAAUGUGCAAGAGGAUUCUCUGGGUGCUGCUGUCCCACAUCAUUACAAGCUGGAAUACCUAUGGAUGAAUGUCUGCAGCAGCAGAGGGUUCUUCGGUAGUCAAAAUGGGUUGAGGCACAGAUCUAGACUCACAACAGAAUGA